AUUGAAGGAGCUUGCUCCUGAUUGAUAAACAUUUGAGUGAGUGGCGGACGGGUGAGUAACACGUGGGUAACCUGCCCUAAAGUGGGGGAUAACAUUUGGAAACAGAUGCUAAUACCGCAUAAAACCUAACACCGCAUGGUGUAGGGUUGAAAGAUGGUUUCGGCUAUCACUUUAGGAUGGACCCGCGGUGCAUUAGUUAGUUGGUGAGGUAAAGGCUCACCAAGACCGUGAUGCAUAGCCGACCUGAGAGGGUAAUCGGCCACACUGGGACUGAGACACGGCCCAGACUCCUACGGGAGGCAGCAGUAGGGAAUCUUCCACAAUGGACGAAAGUCUGAUGGAGCAACGCCGCGUGAGUGAAGAAGGUUUUCGGAUCGUAAAACUCUGUUGUUGGAGAAGAAUGUAUCUGAUAGUAACUGAUCAGGUAGUGACGGUAUCCAACCAGAAAGCCACGGCUAACUACGUGCCAGCAGCCGCGGUAAUACGUAGGUGGCAAGCGUUGUCCGGAUUUAUUGGGCGUAAAGCGAGCGCAGGCGGUUUCUUAAGUCUGAUGUGAAAGCCUUCGGCUCAACCGAAGAAGUGCAUCGGAAACUGGGAAACUUGAGUGCAGAAGAGGACAGUGGAACUCCAUGUGUAGCGGUGAAAUGCGUAGAUAUAUGGAAGAACACCAGUGGCGAAGGCGGCUGUCUGGUCUGUAACUGACGCUGAGGCUCGAAAGCAUGGGUAGCAAACAGGAUUAGAUACCCUGGUAGUCCAUGCCGUAAACGAUGAGUGCUAGGUGUUGGAGGGUUUCCGCCCUUCAGUGCCGCAGCUAACGCAUUAAGCACUCCGCCUGGGGAGUACGACCGCAAGGUUGAAACUCAAAGGAAUUGACGGGGGCCCGCACAAGCGGUGGAGCAUGUGGUUUAAUUCGAAGCAACGCGAAGAACCUUACCAGGUCUUGACAUCCUUUGACCACUCUAGAGAUAGAGCUUUCCCUUCGGGGACAAAGUGACAGGUGGUGCAUGGUUGUCGUCAGCUCGUGUCGUGAGAUGUUGGGUUAAGUCCCGCAACGAGCGCAACCCUUAUUACUAGUUGCCAGCAUUAAGUUGGGCACUCUAGUGAGACUGCCGGUGACAAACCGGAGGAAGGUGGGGACGACGUCAAAUCAUCAUGCCCCUUAUGACCUGGGCUACACACGUGCUACAAUGGAUGGUACAACGAGUUGCGAGACCGCGAGGUUUAGCUAAUCUCUUAAAACCAUUCUCAGUUCGGAUUGUAGGCUGCAACUCGCCUACAUGAAGCCGGAAUCGCUAGUAAUCGCGGAUCAGCAUGCCGCGGUGAAUACGUUCCCGGGCCUUGUACACACCGCCCGUCACACCAUGAGAGUUUGUAACACCC
rnacentral:rRNA from 2 species